rnacentral:rRNA from 1 species
UACAGAGGGUGCGAGCGUUGUCCGGAAUCACUGGGCGUAAAGGGCGCGUAGGUGGCUCGUUAAGCGUGUGGUGAAAACCUGGGGCUCAACCCCAGGUCUGCCGUGCGAACUGGCGAGCUUGAGCAGAGUAGAGGCGGGUGGAAUUUCGGGUGUAGCGGUGGAAUGCGUAGAUAUCCGAAAGAACACCGGUGGCGAAGGCGGCCCGCUGGGCUCUUGCUGACACUGAUGCGCGACAGCGUGGGGAGCAAACAGG